rnacentral:rRNA from 1 species
AUUUGAGAGGAUCUGCCCCUAGUACGAGAGGACCGGGGUGGACGAACCUCUGGUGUAUCGAUUGUGGCCACCUGCUGCAUUGUCGAGUAGCUAAGUUCGGACUAGAUAAGUGCUGAAAGCAUAUUAAGCACGAAACUAACCUCAAGAUUAGAUUUCCCUAUGAGGACACUGAAAGAUUAUCAGUUUGAUAGGUGCAAGGUGGAAGUGCAGUAAUGCAUGGAGCUGAAGCAUACUAAUAGUCCCAUUGCCUUUUUAUG